GGUGGCUCGAUGGUAGGGCACUUGCCUUGCAUGCAUGAGGCCCUGGGUUCAAUUCCUCAGCACCA
rnacentral:tRNA from 1 species